AACGAACGCUGGCGGCAUGCCUAACACAUGCAAGUCGAACGAGACCUUCGGGUCUAGUGGCGCACGGGUGCGUAACGCGUGGGAACCUGCCCUUAGGUUCGGAAUAACUCCCCGCAAGGGGUGCUAAUACCGGAUAAUGUCUUCGGACCAAAGAUUUAUCGCCUUUGGAUGGGCCCGCGUUGGAUUAGCUAGUUGGUAGGGUAAAAGCCUACCAAGGCGACGAUCCAUAGCUGGUCUGAGAGGAUGAUCAGCCACACUGGGACUGAGACACGGCCCAGACUCCUACGGGAGGCAGCAGUGGGGAAUAGUGGACAAGGGGCGAAAGCCUGAUCCAGCAAUGCCGCGUGAGUGAUGAAGGCCUUAGGGUUGUAAAGCUCUUUUACCCGGGAUGAUAAUGACAGUACCGGGAGAAUAAGCUCCGGCUAACUCCGUG
rnacentral:rRNA from 1 species